GGCUCAGAACGAACGCUGGCGGGCGCGUCUUAAGCAUGCAAGUCGAACGGCAAGAGGUAGCAAUACCUCCUAGAGUGGCGGACUGGUGAGUAACACGUGGGUGACAUACCCUUCAGAUGGGGAUAGCUAUUAGAAAUAGUAGAUAAUACCGAAUACGAGCACAGGGGUUAGAGAUCUGUGAGGAAAGGAGCUAAGGCUCCGCUGAAGGAAUGGCCUGCGGCCCAUUAGCUAGUUGGUGAGGUAAGAGCCCACCAAGGCGAUGAUGGGUAUCCGGCCUUAGAGGGUGAACGGACACAUUGGGACUGAGAUACGGCCCAGACUCCUACGGGAGGCAGCAGCUAAGAAUAUUCCGCAAUGGACGAAAGUCUGACGGAGCGACGCCGCGUGGAUGAAGAAGGCCGGAAGGUUGUAAAAUCCUUUUGAAACUGAAGAAUAAGCGUUGUAGGGAAUGACAGCGUGGUGACAGUAGGUUUUGAAUAAGCAACGGCUAAUUACGUGCCAGCAGCGGC
rnacentral:rRNA from 1 species